UCGGGUAAAGGGCGUUACAAAAGAGGUCUUUAUCAAAGCCGUUUUACAAUCCAUUCCAACCUAGUCUAUGGCUUGUUUUUUGUUUCCUAAGUCUUGAUGCCAAGAGUUGGAGGGUAUAAUAGCUAAAUUUUUGUGGCAACAAAAAUCGAGGGAAAAAAGGAAUCCAUUGGAGUGCUUGGAAAGAUAUUUGUGUAGCAACAGAGGCAGGUGGACUUGGUUUUCAAAAACUCGAUAAAUUUAAUAUAGCAUUAUUAGCUAAACAGGGUUGGCGUCUUAUUAAUUAUCCGAAUUCUUUGCUAGCCUGUGUUUUGAAAGCUAAAUAUUAUCCAAAUGCGUAUUUUUUAACUGCCCUAUUAGGUAACUCACCUUCACUUAUCUGGAAGAGUAUCUGGUCGGCAAAAUGAGUGCUAGAAGGAGGGUUAUGUUGGAGGGUAGGCAAGGGGGAUCAAAUUUCUGUCUGGACGGAUCUUUGGAUUUCGGGCAAUGAAGAAGAUAGAUUGCAGCACCAACACAUAAAUGAUAAUUUCGUAUUAGUAUCGGAUCUGAUCGAUGAAGUUAAUAGAACAUGGAAAGUAGACUUAAUUGACAAUCCCUUCAGAGCGGAUUUAGCUAGAAAGAUCAAGUAGAUUCCUUUGGCAAGUGUAGCACAUGAAGACUUUCAAGUCUGAAAAGGAGAGCCUUCGGGUAAUUUUUCUGUCCGUACCGCCUACAAACUAUUACAGGAGGCUACUCUAAAUCCUAUUAUUAUACAGACUGAAACUAAAAGCUUUUUCAAGAAGCUAUGGAGUUUACAGAUGCCCUCGAAAGUUAAAGUUACAAUCUGAAGGAUAUCUUGGAAUUAAAUCCCAACUUUUGCUAAUCUGAAGCAAAGACGAGUUGUUUCUGAUGCUCGUUGUUCCCUGUGUCAACAGGAGGAGGAGGACUACUACCAUCUUCCGUAGCUGCCCUACAACAAUUGAAGUUUGGAGAUUUUUAAAGCUUUCUUGGAUAUUACAAAAUAACAUAGAAAGUGUAUGGAGCUGGUUAACCUGGGUAUUCAGUUAAGGGACAGAAGAACAGAGUCGCCUUUUUUGUUGUGGGCUUUGGAUAAUCUGGGCAAGUAGAAAUAAGUUAAUAUACGAAAACAAACACUCAACAAGCAGGAGCAUUUCAUUAUAAAUUCUAAAUUAUGUGUUAGAACUAAAAGGAGUUGAGGAGAAAAAACUUACCAUAGACACUAGCAUGGUUCCUAAGUCUGACAAAAGAAGACCGACUGUGACGAUUUACUUUGAUGCGGCUUUUGAUCAACAACUCUCAAGAUCUGUUUCGGGGCUAGUUGUUCGAAAUGAGGAGGGGAAAAUAUUGGCCUCCAAGUCAGUCAUACAUUCCAAUAUUGCAACUUCAUUUGCGGCCGAAGCACAUGCAGGGUUACAAGCUUCAUUUUUAGGAAUAUCUAUGGGGUUUAAUGUUUUGCAAGUAAUAGGAGAUUCAAGAACGGUUAUUUCAAAGUGCAAAAGUUCAGAACAUGACAGAUCGGUGAUUGGAGCUAUUAUUCGAGACAUUCAGAAUACAAAAAGCCACUUUCAAAACCUUAGAUUUCAUUUUGUUCCUAGAUCAGAAAACAUAUUUGCUCAUUUUGUUGCAGUAGAGGCAUUAAAGAAGGGGGAAGGUCAUUACCUGGUCGGAGAUAUUCCCAGAUCCGUCCGUUGUGCUGUGGAGAGGAAGCGUCCGAGGCAUCUAGACUAAAAGAGAAGGAGUGGUUUGAAAAUGUAGCAGAAAACUAAAAGAUAUGAGGAGAUCUGCUACCAUUAAGGCUGUGUCGGUGAUGGGAAAUGAAAUGACUUAAUGGAGGCCAGCUGUCUAUCGACUGAAUUUUGAAUAGGUUUUCUUUCUUGUCAUUUGAUUAGGUUCUCUUUUUGUCGAUUUGUUUCUAUUUUAGGCUUUGGGCCAGUCUGUGUA
rnacentral:lncRNA from 1 species